rnacentral:rRNA from 1 species
GUUCGGGUUGUCAUGCCAAUGGCACUGCCCGGUAGCUAAAUGCGGAAGAGAUAAGUGCUGAAAGCAUCUAAGCACGAAACUUGCCCCGAGAUGAGUUCUCCCUGACCCUUUAAGGGUCCUGAAGGAACGUUGAAGACGACGACGUUGAUAGGCCGGGUGUGUAAGCGCAGCGAUGCGUUGAGCUAACCGGUACUAAUGAACCGUGAGGCUUAACCUUACAACGCCGAAG